GUUUUGGAAGGAGGGGAUAAUUUCCCAUUUGGUCCUCCACUGUUAUGCGCGCAUUUAAGUUGGUCCUGAUUUUAUUUUUUUUAUUUUUUUAUUUUUUUUUCUAAAUUUGUUUUUUUCGUUUUAAUUCAGUUUGGCCCAUUUUUUUUUCUCCCUUUAUUAUUUUUAUCCUUAUUUCUAUAUUUCAAAAGCACGCACGAUUAUAUAUACAUGCAUUUCAAUGUAAUAUACGUACUUGUAUAUAUACAUUUCGUGCAGUUUUUUUACCUCUACAUAUAUAUUAUUAUAUUUUAGUUUUUUUUUACUUUCAUAAACAUGCGUGUACCUAUGAUUUUCAUAUUAUUCUUCCCCAUUUUGAAACACAUAUA
rnacentral:lncRNA from 1 species